rnacentral:rRNA from 1 species
CGGAGGGUGCAAGCGUUAAUCGGAAUUACUGGGCGUAAAGCGCACGCAGGCGGUCUGUCAAGUCGGAUGUGAAAUCCCCGGGCUCAACCUGGGAACUGCAUUCGAAAACUGGCAGGCUAGAGUCUUGUAGAGGGGGGUAGAAUUCCAGGUGUAGCGGUGAAAUGCGUAGAGAUCUGGAGGAAUACCGGUGGCGAAGGCGGCCCCCUGGACAAAGACUGACGCUCAGGUGCGAAAGCGUGGGGAGCAAACAGGAUU